rfam:Escherichia coli str. K-12 substr. MG1655, complete genome.
GGCCGGAUAAGGCGUUCACGCCGCAUCCGGCAAUAAGUGCUCCGAUGCCUGAUGCGACGCUUGCCGCGUCUUAUCAGGCC